rnacentral:tRNA from 1 species
GUAGCGGUGGUUAAGCAUUUGGCUGAUAACCAAAAGGCUGCUGGUUCAGACCCACCCAGCUGCU